GCGCACCAGGCGCGAAUACUUUACAAUGUGCGAAAGCACGAUAAGGGAACUCUGAGUGCCUCCUAAGGAGGCUGUUCAGGUGUCUAAAAAGCACCUGAAGGAAGGGCUGGGUAAGACCGGUGCCAGCCGCCGCGGUAACACCGGCAGCCCAAGUGGUAGCCACGUUUAUUGGGUCUAAAGCAUCCGUAGCCGGCUGGGUAAGUUCCUUGGGAAAUUUGGCUGCUUAACAGUCAAGCUUUCAGGGAAUACUGCCCGGCUUGGGACCGGGAGAGGUCAGAGGUACUCCAGGGGUAGGGGUGAAAUCCAUUAAUCCUUGGGGGACCACCGGUAGCGAAGGCGUCUGACCAGACCGGGUCCGACGGUGAGGGACGAAGGCUAGGGGCGC
rnacentral:rRNA from 1 species